UUGUUUAGUAAAGUUGCGAAAGCGUUGUUAAAUCAUUUAUUUUCAUUCCACAUUGCAUAUGCACUCUUGGAGAGUUUUAGUACUAACUUAUCAUAUGACGCGUACGACCUCCUCCCAUACCACAAUCCGGUGCGGUGCGGUCCUAUGUAUGAUCGUUUUUUUCCAGACAGCUUUGCGCAGUUUGCACUCUCUUCUCGCACUUACAAUUUACAGUUAGAUAGCAACGAGAUACAGUGAGAUUCUCAUACAAGGAGAGAGAAUGUUAUGAAGGGAGAGAGACGAGUACUUAGAGUGAUAGAGAGGAGGGUGGGG
rnacentral:lncRNA from 1 species